rnacentral:rRNA from 1 species
AUUGAACGCUGGCGGCAGGCCUAACUCAUGCAAGUCGAACGGUAACAGGAAGAAGCUUGCUUCUUUGCUGACGAGUGGCGGACGGGUGAGUAAUGUCUGGGAAACUGCCUGAUGGAGGGGGAUAACUACUGGAAACGGUAGCUAAUACCGCAUAACGUCGCAAGACCAAAGAGGGGGACCUUCGGGCCUCUUGCCAUCGGAUGUGCCCAGAUGGGAUUAGCUAGUAGGUGGGGUAACGGCUCACCUAGGCGACGAUCCCUAGCUGGUCUGAGAGGAUGACCAGCCACACUGGAACUGAGACACGGUCCAGACUCCUACGGGAGGCAGCAGUGGGGAAUAUUGCACAAUGGGCGCAAGCCUGAUGCAGCCAUGCCGCGUGUAUGAAGAAGGCCUUCGGGUUGUAAAGUACUUUCAGCGGGGAGGAAGGGAGUAAAGUUAAUACCUUUGCUCAUUGACGUUACCCGCAGAAGAAGCACCGGCUAACUCCGUG